GAAACCGACCGGAAGAGUUCAGAGAAUCCCUUAAUGAAACCUCUUCUAAUAGCGAAGAGGAGCACAAUACUGGAAAGAUUGUUGGUGGUGUCUUGGGAGCAGUUGCAUCUGUCAUACUUGUUCUAGGCCUAGUCAUCAUGGUUGCAUGCAAGAAAUGCUAUAGCCAGGAACGACACGAGGAAACGGAAUC